rnacentral:misc_RNA from 1 species
AUGUUCCUCAUAAGACUCGGUCCAUCCAGGCUUCCGUUGUGAGGUUUGGUGGGUUUGAAAGUAGUACUAGCGUUCCGCUUGAGUUGUGUGUCGUACAGCUCACGUGGUCAUUGGUAUUUACUGUUCUCCUGGAUGCGGUGCAUGCGGCUAACGUGGUCUCUUGAUUGAGCCUCGUCGAGUCCCUCGGAAUUAUCGUUUGCCAUGAAUGACACUUGUCGAGGUGCCUGGGUUGCUUUUCCGCUUGCGGUGGCAACACUUGCACGUCGGGCAUAGUUGUUGGUGGAUGCUACCUGGUUGAUCCUGCCAGUAGUCAU